GCUGGAUGAGUUUGGUGUGGAAGAACUUGACUGGCCCACACAGAGUCCUGACCUCAACCCCAUCCAACACCUUUGGGAUGAACUGGAACAGAGGCUGUGACCCAGGCCUCCUGGUUCAACAUCAGUGCCUGAUUUCAACAGUAACAGUAACAGUUCUCGCUGUUAAGCUUUCAAAUUGCACACCUUGUGGUUUGGUUACCGCCUGGAAAAGUUGAUGUGGACUUCUCAUUUCAAGGAUCAUUCAAGAAGGGACAUGCACGUCCUGUCCUUCUUAACUUCCACUUCGUCAACAUGUGGAGGCUCUGAGACUAUAUGGUUUGACCUUCAUAUUUGCCAGGCCGCCCUCUUACUGUGUGGACUCUCAGCAUUAUGCCGUUUCACAGGCCUCUUGUGCUGCCAAAACAGCUCUGACCUGUCAGGGGAGUGGACACAGGACGUCUGGGGGGAUUUUGUGGUCACCAACGUCAUACAAAUUCGGCCCUGUCAUGACAUCAUCAUAUCAUAAGAGGGGAGGAGAGGCCGUGGGUGAUAUCGAAUGCUGAAGUUACAGGAAUACCAGUUGCUGUGAUUUCUGACAGUCUGCUCGUUUGCCAUCACCACAUCUGGAUCCGUGAAAGACAGGCAGCUAAAGCUAGCUGUGUGUGAGUAUGAGUUAGUACACCCACACACACACACAAAAUACUCAUCUUGUGUGAGUCACUGCUAACACUGGUAAGCUAGGUUAACUAUCUUCUGUUUUUUGUGUGGAAGUUCAUUAGCUUGGUUUGCUAAAUUGGUAUACAUGGUACUAUUGUUAUCGCCUGCGUGUUUCAUAUUUCAACUUCUCCUGAGGUAAACCACUUACAGGCAUGAAGCUUAGACAUUGUUCCCACGGAUAUGUCCAAAACAGUUUGACACUCCUUUGAUAAAGCUGUAUAGCUGCAGUACCAUAUCAUUCCUUUAACAAAAAAGUGAGAGGAAAUCAAAUUCUAGUUUGACUUUCAUACUAGUUACUGAGAUCUCAUGGCAGUGCUGUUGAGCCACUGGAAAUUAGUUUGUUCCUGAUCUGGUAGUCCGACUUUGCAGGAUCUGUCAGAGAGGAUGUGACAGAGUUAAUGAACUGUUCUGGUCUUUCAAGUGGAACAAAUACAUUCACUCAAUUUGUGAGUCCCAGUGUCAAAAAAUGAAUUCCAGAUAUGUGCAGCUAUAUAUGAUAACUAAAUGAAAACAAACUUGUUCUAGUCAACAAUCACUCAAACAUCUUGACCCUUGUGUGCCAUCUCCCAGAAAACCUUGAAUCCUGGGGGGGAAGACGUGGCAGGGAUGUAGCCAAAUGAAUGAGAACAUGAUAUCAUGCGCCUGAAAUACUUUGGGCGUGAUUAUUUUCCAGGCAAUCGUUCCUGCUCUCCCAUUAUCACUACUGUCAGUGAGGCUUAUCUCUGACUGCCUGCCUCGCCAGUCAUGGCUCAGACACAUCCUCCAAGCAGCCACUGAGCAUUGUUCUAAUGAGGUUACAGCCUGAGGCAAAGUGAUUUGUUUUGUAGAUGUUAUUAUGGUGGCCUUUUGGCUGGCCCCUUAAUUUCAUCAACAAAGCACUACUAAACAGCAAAGGUCUUAUGGGAAACUGAAGCACUGCACCAAUCGCAGAGGGAUCUUCUGACAUCCUCACACUGGCACUUGUGUAAUCCUACAUACCAGAGAUAGCUGUGUUUUCAGAAGUAAAAUAUAACACUAUUCAUUCAUAAUUAGAGCCUAAGAUAUUGAGAUUUGUUCAGUUUUGAUGGUUUGUUUUAAUAAAAAAAGCACAUCUCUCAUACCUUGAUAAUUAUGUGAUGCAAUUUUUCACACUUAGAACAGAGUACAGGUUGCAUAUGAAACUUAUCCACUAUACUUAAACCAAAACAAGCAAUGACAGUAAGAAACCUAAUGACAAAGUCAUAAUAAACCAGAGUUUGUACAUUUUGAGUGCUAAGAUCUUUGUAU